rnacentral:rRNA from 1 species
UACGUAGGGUCCGAGCGUUGUCCGGAAUUAUUGGGCGUAAAGGGCUCGUAGGCGGUUUGUCACGUCGGAAGUGAAAACUCAGGGCUCAACCCUGAGCGUGCUUACGAUACGGGCAAACUAGAGGUAUGCAGGGGAGAACGGAAUUCCUGGUGUAGCGGUGGAAUGCGCAGAUAUCAGGAGGAACACCGGUGGCGAAGGCGGUUCUCUGGGCAUUACCUGACGCUGGAGGAGCGAAAGCAUGGGGAGCGAACAGG